rnacentral:rRNA from 1 species
GGGAAGUAAAAGUCGUAACAAGGYUUCCGUAGGUGAACCUGCGGAAGGAUCAUUAAUGAAAUGAAUGUCGAAAAGGGUUGUAGCUGGCCUCUUGAGGUAUGUGCACACCUUUAUCGCGCAUCCACAUCUCACACCUGUGCACAACCUGUAGCUUGGGAUGAUUACAAUUCUGGAAACGGUAUUGAAAGCCCUUGCUAUGAAUUUUUAAACAACCGUAUUAAAAGUUAUAGAAUGUUAUGGCGUGUAACAGCGCAAAUAAAUAUACAACUUUCAGCAACGGAUCUCUUGGCUCUCGCAUCGAUGAGAACGCAGCGAAAUGCGAUAAGUAAUGUGAAUUGCAGAAUUCAGUGAAUCAUCGAAUCUUUGAACGCACCUUGCGCUCCUUGGUAUUCUGAGGAGCAUGCCUGUUUGAGUGUCAUGAAGCUCUCAACUGCUUUAGCUUGUUAUGGUUGAAGUGAAGUUGGAUUUGGAGGAAUGAUUAUUGCUGGCGUGACCUUUUCAGGUUGCUUGUUAGCUCCUCUUAAAUGGAUGAACUUUCCAGUAGUAAAAUAACACCAAUGUGAUAAUUAUCUACGUUGGAUGUGCUUUUUACAAGGAAAGAUAUAUCUGUCUUGAAGGCAAACACCUCUUGACGAAACAAAUGACAAAUUUGACCUCAAAUCAGGUAGGACUACCCGCUGAACUUAAGCAUAUCAAUAAGCGGAGGAAAAGAAACUAACAAGGAUUCCCCUAGUAACUGCGAGUGAAGCGGGAAAAGCUCAAAUUUAAAAUCUGGCGUUCCUUUGGUCGUCCGAGUUGUASUCUGGAGAAGUGUUUUCCGCGCUGGACC